GAUAAAUCUAUAAUGUAAUAAUGGAAAGAAUCGGCUUGAAAGAAUAGGGGAUAGGAUAUUUUUCAAUGACGCAUCAUCCCCAGGAGACGUCUCCACCGUUCAGCUGCAUUUGUGAUAAUGCAUAUUAUAAUUUGAAUGAAUUUAUGAUUGAUGAUUUAAAUUUUUAUUGAAAGUGGUCACUGUUUUAUUUGCCAUUUGAAUAGUUGUUCUGUAAUUAUGUGUAUUGAAUACAAUGAAUGAAACAGAAGGUAUUGGAGGUAUCUCAGUAGGUCGAGUUUGUGAAGUUUUCAGUUAGUCCCUAGCAAAGCACGGGUUACCUGCUGUAUGUAAUAUUUUGUUUUUUUAUUUCACCACUCUACAGUAAGAUUGUACACAAUAAUAAUAAUGUGGGUCUGUUUUUGCAGUUGCUUGGUAUUGAUUGUAAGACACAGAAGAAGACACAUUUAGAUGUUUUUGGAUCUUGAAUCUUGAUGCUCACAGAAAAGCAAGUCAACCAGACAGGCUCUAAAAAUUGAUGAAAUGGAACAAAUUAUUUGGACAAGACACUAGAAAAACUCUACUCGGUCGGUUUUGAAAUCAUACCUCAAGAUACUUGCGAGAUCUUCGUCUGCACUGCACUAGCAUUUCAGUGACUCAAUGUGGAUUGUGAAGACACAGAAGGGGACGCAUUUGGAUCUUGAAUCAUGAAUGUUGAAUCUUGAUGCUCACAGAAAGGAAGUCAACCAGACAGGAUUGAGACCACAAUAGGAGGCAUAAAGUCCCUUGAUAAUUUUGAAAACAGAGACGUUAUAGUGAGGUCCACGUUAUAAUGGCAGUGGAGGAAAGUAGGAGAACAACGUUGCCAAUUAUCUGCCUUGCCACUGCCUUCUGAAGAGGAUAGCUUGGUCAAUUUUACCACCAACUUUGGUCAAUAUCUAUAGUUAGUUCCUAAAGGUAGUGGAGAAAAA